AAGCGUACACGGUGGAUGCCCUGGCAGUCAGAGGCGAUGAAGGACGUGCUAAUCUGCGAUAAGCGCCGGUAAGGUGAUAUGAACCGUUAUAACCGGCGAUUUCCGAAUGGGGAAACCCAGUGUGAUUCGUCACACUAUCAUUAACUGAAUCCAUAGGUUAAUGAGGCGAACCGGGGGAACUGAAACAUCUAAGUACCCCGAGGAAAAGAAAUCAACCGAGAUUCCCCCAGUAGCGGCGAGCGAACGGGGAGGAGCCCAGAGCCUGAAUCAGCAUGUGUGUUAGUGGAAGCGUCUGGAAAGGCGCGCGAUACAGGGUGACAGCCCCGUACACAAAAGCGCAUGUGCUGUGAGCUCGAUGAGUAGGGCGGGACACGUGGUAUCCUGUCUGAAUAUGGGGGGACCAUCCUCCAAGGCUAAAUACUCCUGACUGACCGAUAGUGAACCAGUACCGUGAGGGAAAGGCGAAAAGAACCCCGGCGAGGGGAGUGAAAAAGAACCUGAAACCGUGUACGUACAAGCAGUGGGAGCACAGGUUUACCUGUGUGACUGCGUACCUUUUGUAUAAUGGGUCAGCGACUUAUAUUCUGUAGCAAG
rnacentral:rRNA from 1 species